UACGUAGGGAGCGAGCGUUGUCCGGAUUCAUUGGGCGUAAAGAGCUCGUAGGCGGCUCAGUAAGUCAGAUGUGAAACCCUCAGGCUCAACCUGAGGUCGCCAUCUGAUACUGCUGUGGCUAGAGCCCGGUAGGGGUACACGGAAUUCCUGGUGUAGCGGUGAAAUGCGCAGAUAUCAGGAGGAACACCAGUGGCGAAGGCGGUGUACUGGGCCGGUGCUGACGCUGAGGAGCGAAAGCGUGGGGAGCGAACAGG
rnacentral:rRNA from 1 species